AACGCCCUUCAGAAGUUCUAUUAAAUCUUUCUACUUUACCAUUACCUUGAGGGCUGUAAUAAGAUGUUUUGAUGUGGUUGAUGUUCAAUUCUUUUAAGGUUUCUUUCACUUUCUUAUUCAUAUUUUCUGUACCAUUGUCUGUGAGGAUUUGAAAAGGACAACCAUACCUUUGAUACAUUUCUUCUUAGAUAAGAUGUACUAUGUUGUCAGUUGGCUUAUCAUGAACGGGACACUUCUGGCCAACCAGGGUAAAUGUCAAUAAAAGACACUAUGUACUUGCUCCCUGACAAAGAUGUUAGAUAUGGGCCUGAUAAAUCAAGUCCUACUUUAGCUAUUGGAAAAGAUGGUAUAUCUGUCUCUUAAAGUGGAGGUUGAUUCUUCUUAUUUCUCCUCGUUUGGCAUACUACACAUCCAAGUCGAUCAUUAUAUUGCUAACUCAUGUGGUACAUACAGGCGGAGUCUUGGGCCUUCUGAAUCUCCAUCUAAAAUAUAGUACAUUAAACCAUCAAUUUCCAAGAACUUCUCUUCUUCGGUUGUUGUGGUUCCUUUAUUUAGCCGAUUUUUCAGUUUAUUGAUCUGUUCAUCGUUUUAAUGACUUUCUUUGAUGUUGAUUUCUUCUGGUAGAUCGAUAAAGGGUUUGAUCAAUUAGUCAUGUUGCUUAACUUCACAUUUGGCCAAUCUCUUAGAUGAAAAGGCAUUUGAGUUAAGUAGGUUCACUUCAAAGAAACUGUCCUUAACAUCUGGUUCAUCAUGCUCUGACUACUCUUCCUCUUCACACUCAGGAUUGAAUGUUGGGAUGGGAGAACUCUAAGAAAAACUAUGUGGUGCCACCAGAAGAUGAAUCGUCAUUGGAAAUUGAAGACAUGCAACCAGAACUAUUAGAAAGAGCUAUACGGCCCAAACAAUGGGAAAGAGGGGGGUCUUCAGACGAAGAGGAUAUUCCCCUAACUUCAAAGACGAAUAAGCGCUAAGAAGAUCAUGGAUGAUCAGCAGUAUAAAAACUAGAGUGAUCAAACCGUAGAUUCAGAAUCAGAUGAGAUCCCUGAAUCAAAACAAUGUGAUGAAAAUAGUGGUCAAGACUAUGAAAUACCCUUGGAUAACCCAAUUGUACACUUGUAGACGAAGAUAUGAAAAUAGAUGAAAUAAUCCCUAAAGUAGGUUUAGGCUUCAAACCAACCCCUAAAUUGCGUAAAUCAAUCCCUAAGCCCUGUAGAGAAAAUAAUAUUAUGUAAGAGUAAUAUUAAGAGUAUGUGUUGGCUAUAAUAAUGGAAUUAGCCAAAAUGAUAAACUAAUUAAUUUAUAUUUAUCGUAUUGUACAUGUAAUAUAGCAUUGAAUCAUGAUUUUUUGAAGUAUACACUCUCAUAACUGCCGCGGUGUGUGCAUACAAAUUGAGUAACGCGCGUUAGCGCGUUAUGAAAAUUUGUAUGCACACACCGCGGCAGUUAUGAGAGUGUAUACUUCAAAAAAUCAUGAUUUAAUGCUUAUAUUUACAUUUUUUAACUUCUUGCCUUGUCUGCAAAUGUGAACUAUACCUUAAAAUUCCGAUCUUAUCCUAAGGGUAAGUUAAUAUUAAUGGAAGAGCCACAGUAACAGCCACGAGCGUGCACUUUGAUUUUCGCUUGUGACGUUGCAGUUUACAGCGUUCAACGUUUGUGACGUCAUAAUAAAACUCGUCAAUUUG
rnacentral:sRNA from 1 species